CCUGGGGGUUUGGGAGGAUCAGUGCAUUAUGCCACAAUGGCUAGAUCUGCGGUGAGACCUGCAAGCCUUAAUUUAAAUCGUUCUCGAAGCCUUAGUAAUAGCAAUCCAGAUAUAUCUGGGACUCCCACGUCACCAGAUGAUGAAGUUCGAUCAAUCAUCGGGAGUAAGGCUAUGGAUCGAAGUUGUAAUCGUAUGUCUUCGCACACAGAGACGUCAAGUUUCUUACAAACAUUAACGGGACGCUUACCAACUAAAAAGGUAGAUUCAUAUGAAGA
rnacentral:sRNA from 2 species